AUUGCAGCUUAGAUGUACAACCUGUAAUUAAGUACAGACAAAAUGGCGUUAUCUUUUAACACAUGGAAGUAGAGAGAACUCAAUCACUCAUUCAGAACACCACCAAGCUGGUUGGAGAUUUCUUCUCCUGAGGUUGCUGUUGGAAUCCACAAAGACAAUAUUGAUCCUGUUCUAAAACAUAUCAUCUUAUGUCACGGCGUUGGUUUGCCCAUGCUUCUCCUACUCUUUUCAAUGCAAGGACACCAAGGCCUCAAUUGAGUAGAGGCUUCCAUGUGUGCAUGAUAGAGGACAAUAUUGAAGGAAUAUACGACACUUUGAAGGAGUGUGCUGUUAUUAGUAAAUCUGCUGGAGGAAUUGGAGUUUCUGUACACAACAUCGAUGCCACUAGUCUUAGCUUUGAAGGAUCUUUCUCUGGAUGGAACACUGGCUCCUGAAAUUUGUAAUCUUUUGUACACGAA